AGAUUGAACGCUGGCGGAAUGCUUUACACAUGCAAGUCGAGCGGCAGCGCGGGGCAACCUGGCGGCGAGCGGCGAACGGGUGAGUAAUGCAUCGGAACAUGCCCAUGUCGUGGGGGAUAGCCCGGCGAAAGCCGGAUUAAUACCGCAUACGCCCGAGAGGGGAAAGUGGGGGACCGCAAGGCCUCACGCGAUUGGGUUGGCCGAUGUCCGAUUAGCUAGUUGGCGGGGUAAAGCCCACCAAGGCGAUGAUCGGUAGCUGGUCUGAGAGGAUGAUCAGCCACACUGGGACUGAGACACGGCCCAGACUCCUACGGGAGGCAGCAGUGGGAAUUUGGACAAUGGGGGCAACCCUGAUCCAGCCAUUCCGCGUGAGUGAAGAAGGCCUUCGGGUUGUAAAGCUCGUUUUGUCCGGAACGGAAACGGUUACGUGUAAGUAUCGUGACCUACUGACGGUACCGGAAGAAUAAGACACCGGCUAACCUACGUG
rnacentral:rRNA from 1 species